rnacentral:rRNA from 1 species
ACAUGCAAGUCGAACGAAGUAGUAAUACUUAGUGGCAGACGGGUGAGUAACAUGUAGGUAUCUGCCCUUUGGCCUGGAAUAACACGAGGAAACUUGUGCUAAUACCGGAUAAGUCUUUACGGAGAAAGCUUUAUGCACCAUUGGAUGAGCCUGCACUUGAUUAGUUUGUUGGUGGGGUAAUGGCCUACCAAGACUGUGAUCAAUAGCUGAUUUGAGAGGAUGAUCAGCCACAUUGGGACUGAGACACGGCCCAAACUCCUACGGGAGGCAGCAGUAGGGAAUCUUGCACAAUGGAGGAAACUCUGAUGCAGCGAUGCCGCGUGAGUGAAGAAGGCCCUUGGGUUGUAAAGCUCUUUCGUCGGGGAAGAAAAUGACUGUACCCGAAUAAGAAGGUCCGGCUAACUUCGUGCCAGCAGCCGCGGUAAUACGAAGGGACCUAGCGUAGUUCGGAAUUACUGGGCUUAAAGAGUUCGUAGGUGGUUGAAAAAGUUGGUGGUGAAAUCCCAGAGCUUAACUCUGGAACUGCCAUCAAAACUUUUCAGCUAGAGUUUGAUAGAGGAAAGCAGAAUUUCUAGUGUAGAGGUGAAAUUCGUAGAUAUUAGAAAGAAUACCAAUUGCGAAGGCAGCUUUCUGGAUCAUUACUGACACUGAGGAACGAAAGCAUGGGUAGCGAAGAGGAUUAGAUACCCUCGUAGUCCAUGCCGUAAACGAUGUGUGUUAGACGUUGGGAAAUUAUUUUCAGUGUCGCAGCGAAAGCGAUAAACACACCGCCUGGGGAGUACGACCGCAAGGUUAAAACUCAAAUGAAUUGACGGGGACCCGCACAAGUAGUGGAGCAUGUGGUUUAAUUCGAAGAUACGCGCAGAACCUUACCAACACUUGACAUGUUCGUCGCGACUUUAAGAGAUUAAAGUUUUCGGUUCGGCCGGACGAAACACAGUGCUGCAUGGCUGUCGUCAGCUCGUGUCGUGAGAUGUUGGGUUAAGUCCCGCAACGAGCGCGACCCUCACUUUUAGUUG